ACAAAGGAUUUUGUCAAAUCCAUAGAUUAAACCAAGGAAAGUGAAAU
rfam:Hymenolepis nana genome assembly, scaffold: HNAJ_contig0000479